rnacentral:lncRNA from 1 species
GAUUAUAAAGUGCAUUUUGAGAUUGUUGCACAAUUAAAUGGGUGGUCUAGUGAAAUUAAAGCUUUAAAAUUAAUUUCUUGUAUGCAAAAUGAAGCACUUGCAGCAAUUGGUGAUAUAAAUACAAAUUGUCCACCAUCUUAUAGUGAGCUUAUCAAUACUUUAACUAGAAGGUUUGCACCAGAAAACCAGACUGAGCUGUAUAAAACUCAAAUUGACACAAGAAUUAGGAAAAGGG